UGGGGCCCCACCUGCCCUGAAUGACGUGUCACCACUGGACAUAACAUAGUAAAUCUAAAUCCUGGACACUUAAAUUAGUGUAACAUGUUACAUUUGGUAUGAAUACAUGAGACAGAAAAUGUCUUAAGGCAAAAACGAAAGGAACCCUAACCUUAACCGUUUAAACAAAUUCAUAACCUUAACCCUAAACUAGCUAUUGUUAGCCAGCUAGCUAGCGUUAGCGUUGUUUUUACUAUCAGUAUUUGCCUUCUUACCAUAAUCCUCAGAUUUCAAAAGACAUAAGUAUUGCUUCUAUUACUUUACAAACUAUUUGACUAUUGUGUGACAUGAGGUUGUUUGAUUAGGGAUAAAGACAGAUGAACAAUAUGCUUUAACAAUACCAGUAAGCUCUCCCACCCAUGAUUGUAUUUUACAUCUCUUUUAGAGUUGUUGAUCCUAUGAGAGGUAUUUCUUAACUAUAUGUUUAUGACAAUAGCAGUGAACUCCCAUUACGCUCUUUUACAGUAGAUUUGGCUCAUAAUAUGAAAUGUGGCUUUUGACAGCUGGUUCAACAUAUCAGUGGAACAGGUUGUGUGUGUUUGCUGUAUUUGCCUGGUUAUUGUUGGUCUGUCAUUCGAGGUUCAUGAUGUUGCGUAUCUCACGUCUCUGUUCUUCUGCUUGGCAGUUUUGUAAUGAUGGGUCUACCAGGUCCUCCUGGCAGGGGUCUACCUGGGUCAAAGGGUUCUGUGGGCCAGCCAGGUCCACUUGGUCUGUCAGGUAUCCCAGGAGCCCAAGGGGAGCCUGGGUUCCAGGGGCCAAUGGGCCCCCGGGGCCUCCAGGGG